UUUUAUUUUUGUUCUUUUUAGAAUGACUAAAACUAAAAAAAUAAUUAUCAGGACAAAAUGGAAAACUUUGAAUUUGAAAAAGGCACUAUAUUAUGUUAGAACUGGAAAUACAAAUGCAGCAGCAUUGCGAGAAUAUAAUAUUCCUCAAUGAGCUUUUUGAGACUGGUUGGCGAGAAAGGAUAAAUAACCAAAACGUAAACUAGGUCGAAAGACCACUAUUCCCGAAACAGUAAAAUCUGAGUUGAAGCAAAUAUAACGUAUACAAGAAAAAUGAUUUGGUAUAACAAGAGUUUAACCUAGAAACUAUGCAUAUGAAAUAUGAACUCCAUAAAAUCUGCCAUGUUGUUUAAAAGAUGAUAUUGCUGGCAAAGAUUGGCGUGCAGGAUUUCUCAGCUGUAUCUGUUUAAAACUUAACAAUCUUGUUGAAAAAAAGUCAAGUCUACGAUAAACUAAAUUUCGCACACCAUCCUGAAUUGAUAAACAACAUUAAUGAAUCUGGUUUGCAAUUAACAAUGAUUGGCACUCAUUGUAGUAAUAAAAAAAAAAAAGAAGCAAAGCGUGUAAACACAGCUACUCAUGCAUAUAGAGGAGAAACUGUCACUGUAGUUGCAUCUAGAAAUGCUACUGGAACCAAUUGGAUUCUACCUAUAAUUUUGUACUAAGGAAAAAAUUCAAAACAUGAGUAUGGGAAUAAUAUGUCACCUUAAUCGUGUUGCAAAGCAUUGGAAUGCACUCAAUUAUGUAACAGUCAACUGUUCUUCGACUAAUGAAUUAAACGAUGCUUAACAGUCCAAUUGAGAGUUGCCUAUAGUCAUUAUACAACUUUAAUAGUAUCUGUAUCCUAUUUGCAACUCAUAUAUUAUUAGUAUUACUAUUACUAUAUUAU